rnacentral:rRNA from 1 species
AGAGUUUGAUCCUGGCUCAGGACGAACGCUGGCGGCACGCUUAACACAUGCAAGUCGAACGAGAGAAGAGGAGCUUGCUUUUCUGAUCUAGUGGCGGACGGGUGAGUAACACGUGAGCAAUCUGCCUUUCAGAGGGGGAUACCGAUUGGAAACGAUCGUUAAUACCGCAUAACAUAAUUGAACCGCAUGAUUUGAUUAUCAAAGAUUUAUCGCUGAAAGAUGAGCUCGCGUCUGAUUAGCUAGUUGGUAAGGUAACGGCUUACCAAGGCGACGAUCAGUAGCCGGACUGAGAGGUUGAUCGGCCACAUUGGGACUGAGACACGGCCCAGACUCCUACGGGAGGCAGCAGUGGGGAAUAUUGCACAAUGGAGGAAACUCUGAUGCAGCGAUGCCGCGUGAGGGAAGAAGGUUUUAGGAUUGUAAACCUCUGUCUUCAGGGACGAAAAAAGACGGUACCUGAGGAGGAAGCUCCGGCUAACUACGUGCCAGCAGCCGCGGUAAUACGUAGGGAGCGAGCGUUGUCCGGAAUUACUGGGUGUAAAGGGAGCGUAGGCGGGAUCGCAAGUCAGAUGUGAAAACUAUGGGCUUAACCCAUAAACUGCAUUUGAAACUGUGGUUCUUGAGUGAAGUAGAGGUAAGCGGAAUUCCUAGUGUAGCGGUGAAAUGCGUAGAUAUUAGGAGGAACAUCAGUGGCGAAGGCGGCUUACUGGGCUUUAACUGACGCUGAGGCUCGAAAGCGUGGGGAGCAAACAGGAUUAGAUACCCUGGUAGUCCACGCCGUAAACGAUGAUUACUAGGUGUGGGGGGACUGACCCCUUCCGUGCCGCAGCAAACGCAAUAAGUAAUCCACCUGGGGAGUACGACCGCAAGGUUGAAACUCAAAGGAAUUGACGGGGGCCCGCACAAGCAGUGGAGUAUGUGGAUUAAUUCGAAGCAACGCGAAGAACCUUACCAGGUCUUGACAUCGUAUGCAUAGCUCAGAGAUGAGUGAAAUCUCUUCGGAGACAUAUAGACAGGUGGUGCAUAGUUGUCGUCAGCUCGUGUCGUGAGAUGUUGGGUUAAGUCCCGCAACGAGCGCAACCCUUACUGUUAGUUGCUACGCAAGAGCACUCUAGCAGGACUGCCGUUGACAAAACGGAGGAAGGUGGGGAUGACGUCAAAUCAUCAUGCCCCUUAUGACCUGGGCCUCACACGUACUACAAUGGCUGUCAACAGAGGGAAGCAAAGCCGCGAGGUGGAGCGAACCCCUAAAAGCAGUCUUAGUUCGGAUUGUAGGCUGCAACCCGCCUACAUGAAGUCGGAAUUGCUAGUAAUCGCAGAUCAGCAUGCUGCGGUGAAUACGUUCCCGGGCCUUGUACACACCGCCCGUCACGCCAUGGGAGUCGGUAACACCCGAAGCCUGUAGUCUAACCGCAAGGAGGACGCAGUCGAAGGUGGGAUUGAUGACUGGGGUGAAGUCGUAACAAGGUA